GCCGCGAGCAGGGACGUCAGAGCCGAGCGACCGCCGGGCGCGGCACCGCCGCCCUCCGUGCGGGCCGGAGCGCAGCUUUGCCUGGCCCGGGGCGGCCGGGCCUGCUCCGGCACCGGCUGCGGCCGGCGGGGAAGCGCCCCCGUCCAUUUUCCAUUGUCAUUCUCAGGAUGGCCUGCGCAGGGCCAGGAGCUGGGCUCGAUGGUCCUGCUGGGGCCCUUCCAUCUCAGCGGCACCGACCGGGGGAUAUUGGGAACUCUGCGGCCGCAGACGGCACGGCUACACCAAGACAGGCCAAGUGAGGGAUCUCUGCAAAAGCAGGUUCUGCAUCUCCCCCCAUCACAAGCGGAGGCUGUCCCAGUGGCAUCCCCCCGGCAGGAGACAGCAGCGUGCCUGGCCCCCUGGAUACUGUCAGGUUCCUGUGAGGCCUGAAGAGCCCCAUCUUUCUCAGCCUGCUGUGCCUAGGAAGAGGGUGUGGACAUGACAGGAGCUGAUCACUGCCUGCUUGUGAGUUGACAGUUCAUGGAAAACACGUCAGGAGACAGGUCAGGUUGGGCUGCAGGCAGGAACUGGAACUGUCAUCAGAUUAAGGGAAGUGUCACACACCUCUGGCUCCAGGGCACAACCUGGCAUCUCUCCUCCUCCACUCUCAACCCAGUCACCCAUCCAGUCAACUUCUUGACCUUCACACAGGGGUCACAGUGAAAGGUGAAUCUUUGUCUAUACUCAGCUCAGGCUUCGCUGUGCUGAGCUGAAUGUUCACAAGAUCCCAGCUCUGAGGCUGUGAGCAACCUGAGAGUCCAUGUGGGGGAAGGACUUGCCUGUGGUGUUACCUGCUGCCAGGAAUCCAGCCUGUGACAAUUCACCUUGACUCCAAUUGCCUGGCGUCAAAAUUGCUACUUCAAUCAUCAACUAACACGGAAUGAAUGAGCAAUGGACAGUUCAUGCGAGGUCACUUCUUGGUAAAAGGACAGCUGGAUGUAACCAGCUACAGUAGCAGCAAGGAAAAAAUAAACUUGGGAGGGAUGGUACCAGCCAGCAAUGCCAUGGUGCUGUAGGGAAAGGGAAAUCCCAUUUUCAGAUGAAGUAGCAAUACCGUGAGAUGCAGUUACUCAGUUUUAUUCUGGUUUAUCCAACACAAACAACAUCUCAGGUGAGGAGACUGUAAAACAGGAAUAAAAAAUACAUACAGAAGAAAAUACAGCAUAUCAGGAGGUGUUGAAAUCAGAAUCAUUUAAAUUGACUUUGGUUAUUGUGAAGGACAGUAGAAAUUAUUUCCUGUGUCUUCCAGAGGAGAAUGAGCACAGAUGAAGUUACUAACAGAGUAGACAUCUCUCACCCCUUCAACUUGACAAGAGGGAAAAUUUCUUGAUAUCAAAGAGAAAAAUUCAUGUAGCUCUUCCUCACUAUACAUUUGAAUAUACACAUCAGAGAAUGAUCUGACUGAGUACAGGUACACCUAAUAUGCACAGCACAGUGACACAGAGCAAGUAGACAAAAAGUCCUUUCCAGGCCACCAUUUCAAUUAAUCUAUGUUAUUGAUUUAGAAGAAAACACUGAUAAAAUAGAGAUUCUGAAUUUUCACAAAACUUUGUAAAAUUACUUCAGAAAUAAUUCUUCCAGUGACAAAGAGAAGUUGAAGUGUAGAGUGCAGUGGAGAGAGAUCAGCACAGUGGAAUCCAGUGUAUCCUGCAUACCAGUAUCUCACUGUAGGCAGUAUAAGUAGAAUAACAGUUGUUUCCUCAAUACUGGGAAUGUCAGUAGUCAUAAUCACUUCAUACCAUAAAAUACAAGACCACUUGGAUAUCAAGGAAUAAUACUGUACAAAGUAUGUUCAAGGCUCAAUAGGAGUUAACAUUCCUGUGGUACCCAGGUGUUUGCUUUUGGUUUGGGGUUCAGGGUUUUUCAAAUACUGCGGGUGUAGAAGUAAAACAGAAAGCCCAGAUGGAUUAAUUCAGGGUUUCUGCAGAAAGAAGAGUAGGCAUAGAAAAGGCAGCACUAGGCAGCACUCAGAGAACAACUUAGGUCAGAAAUAGCAGAGAAAACAAGUUCAUGAUGAAUCUUGGGUCACUUGAAAGGCUGAGGGAGCUGGGCCUGUUCAGCUUUGAGGAGAGAGGACCCCACCAAUGUGUAUGAAUAUUUAAAGCAGGGGUAUCCGGAAUAUUCUCAGUGGUGCCAAGCAGUAGGACAAGAGGCCAUGGCAGAAACUGAUGCAUAGGAAAUUCCAGUUGGAUAUGAGGAAAAACUUUAUUGUGUGGGUGACUGUGGACUGGAACAGAUUGCCCAGAGUGGUUGUGGAGUCUCUCUCACUGGAGAUAUUAAUGAACUAUCUGCACACAAGCCUGUGCAAUGUGCUCUGGGAUGACCCUGGCUGAGCAGGGAGGUUGGACCAGAUGACCCACUGUGAUCCCUUCCAACCUGAUCCCUUCUAUUGUGUGAAACCUGCAGACCCAGUCUGCCCAGCUCCUCUAGAAACACAACCAGUUCUGGGCACACUGCUGCUCUCCUGCUUACCCGGGAGUUGACAGUGCAGCUGUGCACAGUCACAAGACCCAAGUGUUUUCAAAACUCAAAAACUUACCAGUAGAACCCAAAAACUUGGGAAAUAGACCAACAGAGCUAAAAGGGAAACAUGAGUUCCUGAUUCUGACCUAGAAAGUGAGCCAUGCAGCCCCCUUCUUUCCCAGUUUUCCAUGCCUGGCAGGGGAAUGGAAGACAGAUGGAGGAAGCAGACAACAGCCAGGUUUCUCAACUAUGCAGCUAGACCCGUAACGACUAUGUGUAAGAUGCAGAUUUUGUCAAACAAGCACUGAUCCAUCCAAAGGACACCAAAAAAUUCCUACUUGUAUCUUGAAACUCUUGGGAAAAGCUACAGCUGAAGCUCUUGUUGGUUAAAUCAUGCACAUUAUGAUCAAACAUCUUCAAAAUCACCAUUGAAGCUCCACUUCAAAAUGAGCAUCCAUUCUUCCAAAUUAAAGAUACUCAAUCAAUUUGUAAAAUUGGUCAAAGGCUGGUGUGUAGCACUGGACAUCAGAUUUUGAGAAUCAAAAAGCUAAUAUUAGCCUCUGUGUGUACAAAAUACUCCAUUGUUUACACAAAUGAUAAAAGACUGAUAUGUACUUGAUUAGGAAAUGUUAAUUUUCCAAAGAUCCUAACAAUAGAUUACUUUUAAAAAUCUUCUCAGUGGUAGUGAAUGUAUGAUAUGUCACUAAGAUACAUUCCAUUCCACUGUAAACAAUGAUAGCAGAUACAUUUCCUUACACUAUUAUUCAGCUCAUUUGUUGAACACAAUCUUUCUUCCUCCCAUUUUUGCUUUAAUGUAGUUUGGUAUGAACAAAGACACAUUUCAUGCUGGCUCACACAAAUGAAAACGCCAUUGAUUACAGUGGUGCUGAGCCUCCUGCUUGCUGCCAAACAGCAAGAAUGUGACCCAUUUCACCCUUUUUCACCUCCAUGUGCACCAAAGUCAUUGAUUUGUCAGAAAAUAUAUAAGCAUGGGAUUAUACAACUCUACAAUAUGAUGCAAUCCUACAGUAACUCCCAAGUGUAGCCUUUUUCUACAUGAAUUAAAAGUGAAUAUGUGUCCUUUCAACCCCCAGAGAGAGCUACCAUUCUCAUCUGAUUUUCCAGGAAUGAAAGUUUUCCUAUGAAAAUCUACAUGCCUUUGUAAAUCAUGUACAAAAGUCACCUGCCUGCCCCAAAUGAAUCUCUUUUAUUCCAUCCACCUGCUGUGUCACCAGUGACUUCUUCCCGAGUUCCUCUCAGGCUGGAAGAUGGCAGGACUAAACGUGAUUUCUCUGCCUGGUGUUCUGUGGCACAAUCAGGGCUGCCAGUCUCACAGCCAAAUGCCAGUCAAAAAUCAUGGAACAUCCUUGAACAAAAUGGCCAACAUGGGAAAAAGGCCCUUUCCCCAUCUUGUUUAGAUCUUUGGUCACAGAGUAAUAAUCCCAUUUGUGUUCAGGAACCUACUCUGAAACAGGGAGGAACAGUCUGGCUUUCCCAAGCCUCACAACAACCACUUUGGCUAAAAGGAAAAGUUCAGAGUUCAGUUCACGAACAUUUCCUCCAUAUCAAGAGAAAAAGCACCAGGACAUGAUUGGAUUAAAGGUCACCAUUUACAGAACUGGAAACAAAAAAAUACUUUCUCAUAAUAUAUAAGAAAGUCAAUAUAAUCUUAAAGCCUACAAAACCAGAGGCAAUAUUUAUUAAACCAAAUCAGGCUACAGACAUCCCUGUCACAGCACACUGACAGAAGUUCUGUAUCCCCUUCAGUGACAGAAACAUCAAGUUAUAAUACUAGAAUGUUUUCAGUGGAUAAUGUUCCGUGUUCUGAGUGGAUCAAAAUACAACACUGGCAUGCAUGUGGCAGUCUGCUGCUUCUCCCUUCAAGGCCAGGGAAAAAUACCUUUUUAUUUUACACCCACAAAUAUGGUCUAGGGAAAAGAGCAACAGCUUGGGACUGUAUGACCUUGUCACAGAACCCCCAACAGAAAAGAGAAACAUCUCUGACUGUAGAAUCAAAGGCACUCACACCUCAGGAAAGUUCUUACAGCUAUACCUCCUGGAAAGGAAAAUUUCCCAGGAUGACAGAGCCAGUCUGAAAACUCCAGAAAAAACUGAAGGAUGUCAUUUUACCAGUAGAGCUAUCUGUCAGACCUUGAAGUGAAAAAAAAUUUCCUUGUUAUAACCCACCCCCAGGGUAGGUCUAAAGGGAGAGCCUUGCACUGCAUGUUUAAGACAGUUUUUUAGUCUAUGCCAGGAGGGAAAAUGUGGACUGUGUCUAAGCAGUGAUCCCUGAGCCUUCUGGACAUAGAGAAGAAAGAUGGUCUGAGUAUGGCUCUGCAUGAUAGAAAGGGAACACAACAAAUAUCUCAUACACCACUCAGUGCAUUAAUCAAGCAUUAUGCCAUAAAUAACUCAUUAGCAAGCAUUAUGAAAAACAGUGCCAGUGUUAGGAAUUCCUGAUUGUCUCUGAAGGAGCAGAAGUGGGAUCAGCACAGCUCUUCUGGGGAGUCCAGCAAGAAGAAAGAGCAUCUCCUUACGAUCUAACUUCCUUUCUUGUAGGCAAAAGGAAAAUCUGGGCCAAACAGCCUCUUUUAUCAGGUAUAAAAUCUCCCAUUGCAACAUUAGGAUUACAUAAAACUACAACAUUGUAGCAGUGUGCACAAACAAAAAGCUGCUCAUCUGUGUUACCACCUAAAGGCAGGCUCAAACUACAUGCGUUGUGAGAUUCCUGAUAAUAGCUCUGGGGAGAAGGGCUAGAGAUGGUAAACAACAAUUUUAUAUGACUAAUCCAAUAUAAUCCUAUGCUGGGUAAAAAAUCCAUCUGCAUGGAUUCCCACUGAAGUGCACUUUAAUAACAGUGCAGCAAGCCUCUGGCUGUCACACUGAGGAAACGCUCGUUCGCAUUCGGGCUAAUAAUUGCAAAAGAUUUCUUCCUUUUUCUUUUUUUUUUUCACCCCUUUGUUUUUAUUAAAGCUGUUAUACACUUGUCCUCCCAUUUUAUUCCCUGUUAAGAGAUUAUCCAUCCGACCCACGAAGUGACAAAGAUCCAUCAAAUCCGUGAAGCGACAAAGAUGCACACCGGAAGGCAUCUGAGGAUUCCAUGUCGACGGCCGGGUAGCUACAGCGAGGUCACCCUCUCUCUGCAAAGCUACAACCCUUUUCAUUACAUCACCGCAGCCUGCAGUUACUGUAGAGAAUGGCAAGCUGUCUGCUGAGGCAGAAUCAAACCAAUUCCAGCUGCGCAGCUUCCGCACCGAGUGACCCCGGGAUUUGCUCCCAGCAGACGGCGGGGGGGACCCGGACGCACCCUGUGUGGCACAGAGCGGGAGCGACGGACGCUGCGCAGCGGCUCAGGGCAGCAAGGCAAGGACACUGCCACCCCCAGCUGGCCACACCUACGCCAAUUAGGGCUUCACACCCCGGCAGAGAAGGAAAUCCGUGACUAGGCUCUCUGUUCUCCUCUGAGGUCAGAGAGAAGAGGUUUUCCCCUCCACUGGGCAUUCAUUGUCUCGGGGAAGGAAGUCUGACAUUCACACAAAUCUGCCUGGGGCUCAGGAGGAUUGAGGCAGACAAAGCACCCGAGAAACACUUGUAUUUCAGGUUCAUCAGGAUGGGCCUAUUCCAAAGGGACGAGAUUAAACACGUGGCGUGUGUGUAGGUUACAAAAGGCAUGUGAGAGGAACUGGCUAGUGUUUGGGGUUAUGAAAGAUCAGAGGUUAUGAAAGACCUCGGCAGUUAUGAAAGAUGAGCCAAGAGUCUGAUCCAGCAAGGCGGAGAGCAGCCUCAACCAGCUCGAGGUGAAUGGACAGUCACAAUGAGCCAGCAGCUCACAUGAGGAAGCUCACACUGCCUCGGCAGGUCUAGGCUAAGGAAGGUUUGAAAAAAUAAUGGACUAGGAGAAUGAGAAAGGGAAAUAUUAUCAUUUAAAGGCCUUACAGGCAGUUGUAAUUUUUGGCAAAGUAUUUUGGAAGGUCUUAAAAUACUAGCUGCAGUUAAUGAUUUUCUAAGUAUUCUUUACUGGCCUUCUAGUUCUGUUUUAAAUCUACCUGCACAAGCCACAUAGCUGCAGUGAAUCUGUAAAAAACAAGGGCUCAUUCAGAUAUUUUGGCCUCUAAAGUUCAGCCUCUGGUAACCCUAUUAUCACUAUUCUACCACCAGAAUGAAGAGAAGGUUGGGGAAAUUCUACUGUUCAAAUGCUUUUUUCCAGACGUCACUUAGAAAGAGGACGUACUCCUGCUAAGAAAAAUGUUGAGGAGAGCACCUCCCCUUCUUUGUAACUACUUCUCUGUGAUGUUGUAACUUUCUGUAGACACCUUCAGUUACUUGUGUAUUCUGCCUGCUGCACUGUAAUUCACACUGCCUGCUUUUAAAACACGCCUUAAACAGCCUUCCAAAUGCCCCUGUGGCAGUCUAAUAACAACACAUCUGCAGGCAUUGAGGCAGACCCGAUGCAUAGGGGAAGAAACCAUCUGCACUACAUCAGAAUAGGAUCUAGUCUGUUUCAACAAUAGAUAUAGAGUUUUAUUGUUGGUAAAUUCAAACUAAAACUUUGUAGUUCAAGGUAAAACAAAGGCAACUUUGUUUCUGAACAAAGUGUGUGUUUAAAAAACACCUUCUGUGUUUUUUUCAAGGAAAAACACAGGAAACAUUUCUUAUCAUGGUCUGAGAUGCUUCCUAGAAUGCAAAGCCACGUUUAACUGUACAUUUUCUUUUUCACCAAAGUUAAAGCUGUCUAUACUACAUCUCAGCAGUCCAUGAAUCUCACCAGAAAUACAUUUACCCAUCUGGCCCUGCACAGAGACUCUCUAGGGAAGGUCCUGAACAUGCCUCAUGCCAUGGCAGCGAUAAGAAGCACAGAUUUCCAGAACCUAGAGGAAACUCAGAUUAAAGAAGGAUCCAGAUCAUUUCUGUUCUACACUAGUUCAAGUUAUACUGCAUGUUUGUAGGAUUAUUGCACUUAUGGAAACUAAUCUAACAUAAGAAUGACACAAAUAUGCAUUUGGGGGAAACAAGUCACUUGGACCAAUCAGUCAGCAGAAAAAUUGACAAACAUUUGGUGAGGACUUAUUCAACAAAAUUUCAUCAUUUCAUGCUUCAACCAUACUGUUACACUUUGUGUAGCAGCUAAUUCACCUUCUCAGAGUUUGUUACCAUUUUUUUUAUUAUUCAAAAUGGAGACUAAAAAAAUAUUUCGUUAAGUAGAAAGACAGCCUUGCUGUCUUUGUAGCAUCCAGUGCCAGGGUGCAGCUCAGAAAUUUAAAGAAUAAAGUUGAAUUCUUGUGCUAUAA